rnacentral:lncRNA from 1 species
GUUCCUGGACUGUACAGUCUAUUAGGAGGGUGCAGUGGGGUGGGGAAAAAGCCAGCGAGAUAGGGCUGGGUAAGCUGGCAGCCUGGGGUUCUCAUACCAACCAACAGCAGAGACCAAAAUAAUUGCCUUAAGAACUUCCCAAGUUAGCCCCUGCUCACCCAAAUGGCUGCCACAGGAUUCAAAAAGGCGACAGGCUCCGGGCGAUGAGCUCAAGUUGGCAAGAGAUGAGCCUUUAGCAGAUGCUAGAAGUCAGGUACUUACUAUUUUCAGUGGUCCAUCCAGCAUUAUCACUGGAACACUAGUUUUGGAACUCUCUAAGUCAUAAGUCAUGGUUGUGCCUCUGUUUCUGCUACUCUCAUCAUUGCAGAAUCUCAGAUGCUGGAGCCACCAACGGAAGCAAAGCAAAGAAAAACUGUACCCUUCACGGUGCCUGUCAGCGUUGGGCAGAAGGCUGAGAAGGAAGGGCUGGCUGUACGUCUUGGGAUGGGGGUCCAAACCCCUUUCAGCCACUGUCUGCAGUGUCCGCAGCCUCCACCCCUGGUCUGCUUCCUCCGAACCUGGUGUAUUUGUGCUGUUAUAACUAAAUACCUGAGACUGAAUAAUCUAUAAUAAAAAGUUAUUUUUCAAA